AUUGAACGCUGGCGGCAUGCCUUACACAUGCAAGUCGAACGGCAGCACGGGGCAACCUGGUGGCGAGUGGCGAACGGGUGAGUAAUGCAUCGGAACGUACCUUUCAGUGGGGGAUAACGUAGCGAAAGUUACGCUAAUACCGCAUAUUCUGUGAGCAGGAAAGCAGGGGAUCGCAAGACCUUGCGCUGAUUGAGCGGCCGAUGUCAGAUUAGCUAGUUGGUGAGGUAAAGGCUCACCAAGGCGACGAUCUGUAGUGGGUCUGAGAGGAUGAUCCGCCACACUGGAACUGAGACACGGUCCAGACUCCUACGGGAGGCAGCAGUGGGGAAUUUUGGACAAUGGGGGCAACCCUGAUCCAGCCAUGCCGCGUGAGUGGAGAAGGCCUUCGGGAUGUAAAGCUCUUUCGGCCGGGAAGAAAUCGCACGGGCUAAUACCCUGUGUGGAUGACGGUACCGGAAUAAGAAGCACCGGCUAACUACGUGCCAGCCGCCGCGGUAAGAC
rnacentral:rRNA from 1 species